GAAUAUUGGGCAAUGGACGAGAGUCUGAGCCAGCCAUGCCGCGUGCAGGAAGACGGCGUUCUGCGUUGUAAACUGCUUUUAUCUGGGAAGAAAAGGCCCGUGCGCGGGACAUUGCCGGUACCAGAUGAAUAAGCACCGGCUAACUCCGUGCCAGCAGCCGCGGUAAUACGGAGGGUGCAAGCGUUGUCCGGAUUUAUUGGGUUUAAAGGGUGCGUAGGCGGCUGUUUAAGUCAGUGGUGAAAGACAUCGGCUCAACCGAUGCAGUGCCAUUGAUACUGGGCAGCUUGAGUGUUGGAGGGGUACAUGGAAUUGAUGGUGUAGCGGUGAAAUGCAUAGAUACCAUCAGGAACACCGAUAGCGAAGGCAUUGUACUGGCCAACAACUGACGCUGAGGCACGAAAGCAUGGGGAGCGAACAGG
rnacentral:rRNA from 1 species